GCGCAGCCUGAUGCGCCAUGCCGCGUGUGUGAAGAAGGCCUUCGGGUUGUAAAGCACUUUCAGUCGUGAGGAAGGUAGUGUAGUUAAUAGCUGCAUUAUUUGACGUUAGCGACAGAAGAAGCACCGGCUAACUCCGUGCCAGCAGCCGCGGUAAUACGGAGGGUGCGAGCGUUAAUCGGAAUUACUGGGCGUAAAGCGCAUGCAGGUGGUUUGUUAAGUCAGAUGUGAAAGCCCGGGGCUCAACCUCGGAAUAGCAUUUGAAACUGGCAGACUAGAGUACUGUAGAGGGGGGUAGAAUUUCAGGUGUAGCGGUGAAAUGCGUAGAGAUCUGAAGGAAUACCGGUGGCGAAGGCGGCCCCCUGGACAGAUACUGACACUCAGAUGCGAAAGCGUGGGGAGCAAACAGGAUUAGAUACCCUGGUAGUCCACGCCGUAAACGAUGUCUACUUGGAGGUUGUGGCCUUGAGCCGUGGCUUUCGGAGCUAACGCGUUAAGUAGACCGCCUGGGGAGUACGGUCGCAAGAUUAAAACUCAAAUGAAUUGACGGGGGCCCGCACAAGCGGUGGAGCAUGUGGUUUAAUUCGAUGCAACGCGAAGAACCUUACCUACUCUUGACAUCCAGAGAACUUUCCAGAGAUGGAUUGGUGCCUUCGGGAACUCUGAGACAGGUGCUGCAUGGCUGUCGUCAGCUCGUGUUGUGAAAUGUUGGGUUAAGUCCCGCAACGAGCGCAACCCUUAUCCUUGUUUGCCAGCGAGUAAUGUCGGGAACUCCAGGGAGACUGCCGGUGAUAAACCGGAGGAAGGUGGGGACGACGUCAAGUCAUCAUGGCCCUUACGAGUAGGGCUACACACGUGCUACAAUGGCGCAUACAGAGGGCGGCCAACUUGCGAAAGUGAGCGAAUCCCAAAAAGUGCGUCGUAGUCCGGAUUGGAGUCUGCAACUCGACUCCAUGAAGUCGGAAUCGCUAGUAAUCGUGGAUCAGAAUGCCACGGUGAAUACGUUCCCGGGCCUUGUACACACCGCCCGUCCCACCAUGGGAGUGGGCUGCAAAAGAAGUAGGUAGUUUAACCUUCGGGGGGACGCUUACCACUUU
rnacentral:rRNA from 1 species